CCUACGGGAGGCAGCAGUGGGGAAUUUUGCGCAAUGGGGGCAACCCUGACGCAGCAACGCCGCGUGAGUGAUGAAGGCCUUCGGGUCGUAAAGCUCUGUCAGAGGGGAAGAAAUGCAGGUGGUGAACAACCAUUCUGUUUGACGGUACCCUCAAAGGAAGCACCGGCUAACUCCGUGCCAGCAGCCGCGGUAAUACGGAGGGUGCUAGCGUUGUUCGGAAUUAUUGGGCGUAAAGCGCGUGUAGGCGGUUUGUUAAGACUGAUGUGAAGGCCACGGGCUCAACUGGGGAAGUGCAUUGGAUACUGGCAGACUUGAGUACGGGAGAGGAGAGUGGAAUUCCAAGUGUAGGAGUGAAAUCCGUAGAUAUUGGGAGGACCACCGGUGGCGAAGGCGGCUCUCUGGACCGAUACUGACGCUGAGACGCGAAAGCGUGGGGAGCAAACAGGAUUAGAUACCCUUGUAGU
rnacentral:rRNA from 1 species